AUCAAACCAACAAGUGGCUAGUAGGCUUUUUUCUACAGGACAAAAAAAACUUACAUCAUCUGCCCUUACAGUGUUGGUGAAGCUUAAAAACCAGCACCUACAAAGGAAGCUGCCUGAAUGAUUUCCACUGGUUCCACCCAACCAAGGCUGAUCACAUAUUCAAAAACACUUUUAAAAUAUGAACCUAUGUAAGAAUAUAAGGUAUCAUAAUUACCCCUAAACCCUUAAUGACUGAUGUUACAUGUUAAUUAUGUGUUACUAUCUCAUCCAACAAUCACCAGAAUCCCUUUACAUUCACAGCUGAGGUGUGCAGCAGCACAGGGGAAAGGUUCCAGAUCUUCUGUGCUAAGAAAAUUUACACCCUGAUGGCAGGAAGGUGGUAUUUUGCAUCCAAGGAUGUCAUGGCUGGAGAAAUGAGAGUUGGCUGGAGCAGGCCAGGUUGUCAACCCAAUCAGGAACUUGGCUCAGGUGAAUGUGCCUUUGCUUCUGAUGGCUUUGAGGGGAGAAGAGGAUGAGAUGAGAUGAGGAGAGAGAUAAAUGAGAAGAUGUUUUAGAUGAAAAUUAACAGAAACUGUCAGUGAAUUGGAUGAACAGAAUUUGCAGAUGAACUGAAAUUGGUGCUCAAGGAGAAUGAAGAAUUAAGAUUUACUUCAAUACUUUUAGUUUCCCAUCUGAGGGAUGCUAAUACAACAGCAAGCAGAAGAGCCUGUUGAAAUUCAUGGAAAGGAAUAUAUUGGACUCUGCCCCAGGCUCCUGGCACAGAGCUCCUAAAUCCUUUGCAAUGUUCUAUGUGAUCAGAGUACUGGGAUCAUCUUUUGUUCUGAUGUUUGGUCUUUGACCCUGGUUCCUGACACAGAACUCCUAAAUUCCUUGGACUCUCCUGGGUGAUAUGAAUAUUUUUGGACCUAAUGAAGCAACUGGCUAAUGGAAAGCCCAAGCCAAUUAUUUAGAACUUGGAACUUUUAGCAGCCCUCCUUCUCAUUCUCCAGAGAGGAGAGAGGGGCUGAAAAUGGAGUUAAUAAUCAAUUAUGCCUAUAUGAUGAAGACUCCAUAAAAAUCUCAAUAAUAGAAGUUUGGAGAGCUUCAGGGUUGGUGAACCCAGAAGAUUUCUUCAUGGACAAAUGAUUCUUUUGUAGCCCUUUUUCUACACCCAUAGGAGGGGGAGAGUCAGGAGCCUCCAAUUCUGUCAUUGUGAUGUUCUAAUUGUAUGCAUAAAAAGGAUUAACAUACUGAAUUUUAUGUUGUGAGAAUUACAUCUAAAUAAAAAUGCAUUUAAGGGAGUGUC